CAAGGUCAUGUGACUGAAGACCCCUAUGAAGGCCAUGAGAAGUGCACAUGACAGGUAGCUGGCCAGACCCUGGUAGGUCAUGAACAUCUUGCCAGGUGUGGAGUGAUCAGGGACUGUAUACUGGGCAGCCAUGUCAGCACACACCACCCAAAAUCUUUAUUCCAACUGCCAGCUGCGCCAUGCUGUUGAACUGAUCUUUGUCCUCACCCACCCAAACAGAGUGACACGACCCUUGGUAAAAGCAGUCAUGGUGCCAUCAUCUUCAACAGUGUAUUCUGCAGAAAUGUUGUCCUGCAGGAAGAGUCCUUCUGGAUCUUUCUUCUGCUGAGCGUACCACUUUCCUGCAUACUGACAAAGCACAAAUCAUCAAUAUCAGUACUGCAGUAUUGCCUCUUUAAUUUGUUAUGGAUAUCACUGGUAUGGACUGUGUCUUAUCUCUAUUGCUAUUUCUUCUUUUUUGCUUGUAUGUAAAUUAAAAAAAAGAAUUGUUCCAUUUUCUUAUA